GGUUAAGCGACUAAGCGUACACGGUGGAUGCCCUGGCAGUCAGAGGCGAUGAAGGACGUGCUAAUCUGCGAUAAGCGUCGGUGAGGUGAUAUGAACCGUUAUAACCGGCGAUUUCCGAAUGGGGAAACCCAGUGUGUUUCGACACACUAUCAUUAACUGAAUCCAUAGGUUAAUGAGGCGAACCGGGGGAACUGAAACAUCUAAGUACCCCGAGGAAAAGAAAUCAACCGAGAUUCCCCCAGUAGCGGCGAGCGAACGGGGAGGAGCCCAGAGCCUGAAUCAGUGUGUGUGUUAGUGGAAGCGUCUGGAAAGGCGCGCGAUACAGGGUGACAGCCCCGUACACAAAAAUGCACAUGCUGUGAGCUCGAUGAGUAGGGCGGGACACGUGGUAUCCUGUCUGAAUAUGGGGGGACCAUCCUCCAAGGCUAAAUACUCCUGACUGACCGAUAGUGAACCAGUACCGUGAGGGAAAGGCGAAAAGAACCCCGGCGAGGGGAGUGAAAAAGAACCUGAAACCGUGUACGUACAAGCAGUGGGAGCCUCUU
rnacentral:rRNA from 1 species